AACGAACGCUGGCGGCAUGCCUAACACAUGCAAGUCGAACGAGACCGUCCUGUCUACUGGCGCACGGGUUCGUAACGCGUGGGAACCUGCCCGGAUGUUCGGAAUAGCUCCCCGAAAGAGGUGCGAAUACCUGAUAAUGUCUUCGGACCAAAGAUUUAUCGCGUGUGGUGGCGGCCGCGUUGGAUUAGCGAGUUGGUAGGGUAAAAGCCUACCAAGGCGACGAGCCAUAGCUGGUCUGCGAGGAUGAUCAGGCACACUGGGACUGAGACACGGCCCAGACUCCUACGGGAGGCAGCAGUGGGGAAUAUUGGACCAUGGGCGAAAGGCUGCUACAGCAAUGCCGCGUGAGUGAUGAAGGCCUUAGGGUUGUAAAGCUCUUUUACCCGGGAUGAUAAUGACAGUACCGGGAGAAUAAGCUCCGGCUAACUCCGUG
rnacentral:rRNA from 1 species